CUGCAGCUUCUUCUAAGUAUUUGUUUCUGGAUCAUGACAUCAUUGGAAUGCCGUGCGUAGAUAUCAGCGACUUGAGAGAUAAGGCAGGCUGAAGAUGAUCGAUAAUGAUAAAAAUUUUCUCAUUAGAUGUCGGCCACCUUCUCUGAUGAGGUUGAUAUCAUCGAUACCAGCCGAGUCAAGAAUUGGACGGUAAUAUCGGCGAGCAGGCCGUGUGGAGGCGGCACGAGCCUUGAAAGAGAACAGGUUCGGGUCGACCAUACACUGUGGACAAAAAGGCCACACUGGAUACUAACAAGGCUGAUCUCGAACAAAAAAAAUCCAUCAACUAUCAGACGAAGUAGGUCCGUCCCACACAAUGUACACCAGCCAACAUACACGGAUUAGCGAAAGUGAAACGUCCGUGAAGAAAAGUUCCGAAUGUAGCGAGAGAUUGCACCGAAACAUCCGCACUUGCUCUUUCAAAAUCGUCCAUCAAAAGAAAUAUUGAUUUCUACUCUGUUGCAGGUACCCGGGUCGGGUUGAUAUAAAGAUCGCCGAGCCUGCCAAAGCGAUUAAAAAACCUUCAACGCCGCAGCGGGAUCUCGCCGAGCCGGGCACCAUGAGCAAAAAGACGAAAUUCGCAUCCAGCUCCAAACAGGUUUGCAGUUUUUGGCCAGGACGACCGAGACUUGUUUUUUUUCUAUCGCUUCCUCGAAGCCAGCACUCUCCAAUCCUGAAUUUUACUUCAAACUCGUUAUUGAUCCACAGUGGUCCCGGCGACUCUCGAUUUCCUAGAAGAAGGAAGAAUAGCAGUAUGCUCCAGAUCGUCUGAGGGAGUGUCGUCAGGAUUACUUUGACUUAUGUUAUGACGUCAAACUACGCCAGAGAAGCUAAUAGCCAUUAAAUUAAAAUUAAAAACAAAAUUCCACCUAUCAAGUAUGGAAAUAAUUAUUACCAUCUAAAAUUCUUUUAUUUUUGUAGGUCUUAAAUUUACCUCCUAUAUACAACUAAUGAUCAAUCUUCAAAAUUAUUAUUUUAUAUUAAAGGACAGUCAUGGCGUGAGGCCAAUUAGAAAGAAAACAUCUUCGUCCAGCUCUCGAGGAAUGCAUCCCCUAAAAUUUUGUUACAUUUUUUACUGGUCAUGUUUGUCUGGUUUUGUAUAAUUUCAAUUUCUAAUUUUCAAGGAGAAGUACGUCAGUGUCAUUGAUUUUAAUUACAAUUUUUUGAUGAUACUAAGGCAAAAAAUAUUAAACGUCCGAGCAUUCUUGCCAAUAGCCCUAGGGCCCCAUUUGUUACAAAGUAAUUUAAGUACUUUUUUUAAAGCAUUUUUCUGCCUAUGCAUAUAUUUCAAUGUUUUAUUUAGAAACCAGGAAACCAGUCUAUUUAUUUUGUUAUGUAGAGCAAGAAAGUGAUAAACGAUCGUAAUAAAGUGAGAUUAGGUUAAUAAAAGUUACAAAAACCGAAGGACAUAUUUUGCCUAAUUUUUGACCUAGCGAUGGAGUAGGAUGAAAUAUUUUUUUGGCAUGAAACAAAUUUUAAUAAAAUAAAUACUAUUUUCCCACCCCAAUAAACGCUGAAUGUACAUUUUUAGCAAAUAAAUUUGUUUAUGGAUUUUUUAACAACGAUAAGAAAGGAAUAAGUAGGAUCGUAUUAAUGAGAUUAUUCAUAUUUAAAAAGAAAACCAAAGACACUUCCAAGCCAAAAAAAUAUUUUUGUGAAAAAUAAAUACGAUUUUAGGGCCAACGAAAAAGAAUUUAUUUUUAUAUAUAAAUAAUAUAUUUUUAAGCUUUUUUUCUCCGAUGUCCUGCGUUCUAAAAAUUGAUAACUCUGCUAAACUUUACCCAAAUUCAAAUUUAUUACAACCAUUUAAAAGCUGGACUUCUGCACUCUAAACAAACAAAAAAAUUUUAAUAAGUGGCAUAACUUUUUAAAAAUAUAUUUUUUAUCUUCAUUGUGUAUGUAUUUCAAGUAUCAGUCGAAUUGUUUUCUUACCUAGGACAGGAAAAAAUAAGCAGGUAUUAUAUGAAAUUAAAUUUGUAAAAUGUUACAAAAAACAAAACCAUGUUUCCAGCAAAUUAUAUCAAAAACCCUUUUUAAAAUUUAAAUUAUUCGGAUUCGUUUUAAGCGCUUUGUUUUUUAUGAAUGGAUUUUCCUUGUAAUAAAAUUAUUUCCGUUUUCGAGCUGCAUUAUAAAGAGGCAAAUUUUUUGCUCUGACAUUCAGAGAAUAUGCAGCUAAGUAUGUUAAAAUAUUAUUUAGCAAAACACAGGGAGAAAGAUGAUAUUCGGUUUUUUGCCCCUCCCCACCAAACGAAAAAUCCCUCAAAAUCUUCGCCUUUGCAAUUCCUCCGAUUUUUUCGAAAUUUCAAAAAUGGUGAUAACUUUAAUAACUCCACCGAUCUGCGGGAAACUCUACUUAUAAACUUUACUUAAGAUACACGUAAGGGAAUAAAUCUGGUUUCAGUUAAUAAAUUAGAACCGGUGAUAUAAAAUGAAACAUAAUUUAGACGUUUUUGCUAAAUUAUUCUUAUUUUGUUAAAUUGUCUACUAGUUGAACUUUGUUGACACAGCCUGAAAGUAGAUGAUAAUAUUCAGCUUUUCAACGAUUGUAAUGUCCUUGAUUUUUUGAUCAAAUAAAUAGGAGUGUAACAAACUGCCCCCGGCUAAUUCUGCCAAAACAAUCUAUUUUUCGAUUGCUAUAAAACUCGUAUUUUAGGGUUUUGAAGGAUGCUUAAAACGAAUCCGAAUUGUCUUUUCAAAAUUUCUUUGCAUAAAUAAUUUGUUGACCUAUUUUACUGGAAAUGAACUUUUAUUUAUACUUUUUUAAAUUUAAUUUAAAUGUAAAGAUCGUAUAAGCUUGAACAGAUCCUGAACAUUUUAUUGCGUUCGUUCAAUUACAAAAGCUGUUAACACAAAAUGUGAGGAAGUGUGAAACUUUUGUUUUACUUUAUCUGAGCUUCUGAUAAUUCAUGUUUGAAAUAAUACAUGUUGUCGUAUGGAUAAGUUGAAUGUAAAAGUUUGCAGUUAAGUGAUCCUAAUUGAUCGUAUUUGCCUUUCGCAAUCUCGGCUUUCAUGCCAUUUAUUUUAGAAAAUAUUCUGAUAAAAUAAGACAUGCCUCAUUAAUAAUCCUUUAUAUCGGUGUUAAAAAGUGCAUUGAUGUCAAACGUGAACUUUUGAAAAAAAAUCGUCUUUCAAGAUUAUUAAAGCGAUUUGAGCUUUAAUUUAAAUUAAAAAUAAUUUAUUAGUUAAAAACAUAUUUGUAUAUCAGGACGUUUAGGAAUGAAUCCUUGGUAUAAUAUGAAGACAUUAUUUUUUAAAUAUGAGAUCAGCAUUUUUAUUUAUUUAUUUUUACUAACUUUUUCUACUUUCCU
rnacentral:lncRNA from 1 species